ACGCUGGCGGCGUGCCUAAUACAUGCAAGUAGAACGCUGAAGAGAGGAGCUUGCUCUUCUUGGAUGAGUUGCGAACGGGUGAGUAACGCGUAGGUAACCUGCCUUGUAGCGGGGGAUAACUAUUGGAAACGAUAGCUAAUACCGCAUAACAAUGGAUGACACAUGUCAUUUAUUUGAAAGGGGCAAUUGCUCCACUACAAGAUGGACCUGCGUUGUAUUAGCUAGUAGGUGAGGUAACGGCUCACCUAGGCGACGAUACAUAGCCGACCUGAGAGGGUGAUCGGCCACACUGGGACUGAGACACGGCCCAGACUCCUAUGGGAGGCAGCAGUAGGGAAUCUUCGGCAAUGGGGGCAACCCUGACCGAGCAACGCCGCGUGAGUGAAGAAGGUUUUCGGAUCGUAAAGCUCUGUUGUAAGUCAAGAACGAGUGUGAGAGUGGAAAGUUCACACUGUGACGGUGGCUUACCAGAAAGGGACGGCUAACUACGUGCCAGCAGCCGCGGUAAUACGUAGGUCCCGAGCGUUGUCCGGAUUUAUUGGGCGUAAAGCGAGCGCAGGCGGUUUGAUAAGUCUGAAGUUAAAGGCUGUGGCUCAACCAUAGUUCGCUUUGGAAACUGUCAAACUUGAGUGCAGAAGGGGAGAGUGGAAUUCCAUGUGUAGCGGUGAAAUGCGUAGAUAUAUGGAGGAACACCGGUGGCGAAAGCGGCUCUCUGGUCUGUAACUGACGCUGAGGCUCGAAAGCGUGGGGAGCGAACAGGAUUAGAUACCCUGGUAGUCCACGCCGUAAACGAUGAGUGCUAGGUGUUGGAUCCUUUCCGGGAUUCAGUGCCGCAGCUAACGCAUUAAGCACUCCGCCUGGGGAGUACGACCGCAAGGUUGAAACUCAAAGGAAUUGACGGGGGCCCGCA
rnacentral:rRNA from 1 species